rnacentral:tRNA from 7 species
CGAAAUCGGUAGACGCUACGGACUUGAAAAUCCGUUGGCUUUAUUGACCGUGAGGGUUCAAGUCCCUCUACCCCCA